CCUAAGCCUAGGAGCUGCAGGGACAUGCUGUUCGCUUCCGGGAGCUGCCCUGAGCACAUCUGUGGCGUCGAAGUCCAGGGUAAUUGGAACCCACAAAGGAGGAGCACUGGAGAGUCCCUCGAUGUCAACCAGGAUGGAAGAAGAGGACCGAGAACCCUCUGGUGAUGUCAUCCCCAGGAACAGGAGCAGGUACCAUGAGGGAUUUGUUGGUGAAGAUUUCCAAUGAAACUAGAGUAUAUAUGACUUCUUCAACAGCUGAUUUUAAGGUAAGUACAAGGGCUAUGAUUGUUUCAUUGUGGGGAUAAUAUGUAAAGCUAACAAGUUUCCACGAUUCAUGAUGUUUCUUUUCAAAUUCAUUGGAAUUACUUCCAAUUAUUCUUUUUAAUUCUAAGGGCA